CUAACAGGAGCGGAGUGGGAGAGACACCCAUACCGAGUCUAUGACUGCAGCUUUGUGCUAAUGAUAGACGUGUAAAAAUUCUUGGCAAUGAAAAAUCAGCUUGUGUGUAGAAGAACAGGAAUUUUAGUCCAAGGACUGAGCCCACAGGUACCCAGAGGCCCUUGAGGCACACGAGAGUAGGCGAAGAAAGAGCUCACUGGCCUUGUGCUGGGAGACGGACCUGCGCCAACCAGGAGGGAGGAGACAACAAAUACAUUUCCCUCGGCCCAGGAAACCUCUUUGGUGCUUGGGAUACCAAGAAACCAAGAAAUUCUCUAAUCAAAGCAUUUUAAUGGACUGCUUAUUAAAGUGCAUACAAACUCAGCAGUCCCAAUGUGGACCAGAAGCUGCAAUACACAAUGUUGAAAAAUAAAGUGAAAAGAAUGUCCACCCAUCAAACUCUGAGAUGCAGGAGUCGUAAGAGAAAGGAUUUCUGCGGGACUCAAAGAUGACUCUGGAUUUGGAUUACUCUCCAGUCCAUCCAAAAGAGCAAAGACAAUACAAGCAAAUCAACAUAGUCGCUGUAGGCAGAGCCCAGACUAGCCUUGCUGGCUGAUGGGGAAACACAGUCGCGAUAGAGCCAUUCAGAGAGCAGUAGGCUGUGUAGUCCACACGGUGGUAGAACAUUUCUCUGAGCCAGCUUCCCAUUCCUGGCUCAUGACAUCAGGUGUCAGGUUGACUACAUUUUUUUCCAGCAGCCAUAAAAUCAGUGGUGUUUCUCUCCAUAGUUGUCCAAAAGAGAAAGCUGUGAUUUGGUUUCUCUUACACUUAUUUUUAAUUGGGAACAAUCAAUGAUUGCAAUACACAAAACCCAUAUUUUUAAGACAAUAUUUCUUCACAUUGCAGAUGCAAUCUGUUCUGCACUAGGAGGUUGAGAAAGAUGGGGAAAGAAAGCCAAACCAAAUGAAUUAUAUUAGCUUUAGGAUCUUGUCUGCUUAUACUAUUGACUGAUCUGCAGUUUAGGAGACCACAUUUUCACAAUUACGUUUCUUCAUAUGAAAACUAUAUUUAGUGGGCAACAACUAUUUUUAUGAUGGGAUAGGAGUACAUAAACAUGAAUAAAAUCUGUAGACAUUGAACAACUUUGUUCAAGAUGGUAGGGGUAUUUUUAGAGUGGCAAUAAUUGAAAAAAGGUCACGGGCUGGGGAUUUAGCUCAGUGGUUU
rnacentral:lncRNA from 1 species